UAAUCAUUUGUCUUUUAAAUAAAGACCUGUAUGAAUGGCAUCACGAGGGCUCGACUGUCUCCUAUCCCUAAUCAGUGAAAUUGAUCUGUCCGUGCAGAAGCGGGCAUAAAAACAUAAGACGAGAAGACCCUAUGGAGCUUAAGACAUAAGAUCAGACAUAGUUAGUAGUUUAAACCCGACAGGAAUAAAGAGCUAAGUUUCAAUGUGUUGACUGAUCGGAUUGUCUUCGGUUGGGGCGACCGCGGAGGAGAAGAAAGCCUCCAUGUGGAGUGGGGAAAUACUCCCUAAAGCUAAGAGCUACGGCUCUAAGAAGCAGAAUAUCUGACCAGAAAUGAUCCAGGUUAAGGCCUGAUCAACGAACCAAGUUACCCUAGGGAUAACAGCGCAAUCCUUUCUCAGAGUUCA
rnacentral:rRNA from 1 species